CCUACGGGAGGCAGCAGUGAGGAAUAUUGGUCAAUGGGCGAGAGCCUGAACCAGCCAAGUCGCGUGAGGGAUGACGGUCCUAUGGAUUGUAAACCUCUUUUGUCGGGGAACAAAGGCGUCCACGUGUGGACUGAUGAGUGUACCAGAAGAAAAAGCAUCGGCUAACUCCGUGCCAGCAGCCGCGGUAAUACGGAGGAUGCGAGCGUUAUCCGGAUUUAUUGGGUUUAAAGGGGGCGUAGGCUGACAGGCAAGUAAGCGGUAAAAAUGCGGUGCUCAACGCCGUACAGCCGUUGAAACUGGCAGUCUUGAGUGGUCGAGAAGUAUGCGGAAUGCGUGGUGUAGCGGUGAAAUGCAUAGAUAUCACGCAGAACUCCGAUUGCGAAGGCAGCAUACCGGCGCCCUACUGACGCUGAGGCACGAAAGCGUGGGUAUCGAACAGGAUUAGAUACCCCGGUAGUU
rnacentral:rRNA from 1 species